UCGAGGAUCUUGGACAAUGUGCGAAAGCGUGAUCCAGCGACGUCGCGUGCAGGAUGACGGCCUUCGGGUUGUAAACUGCUGUCGUGAGGGAGAAAUGGCGCGGGCGCUAACAUCGUUCGCGCGUGAUAGUACCUCAGGAGGAAGACACGGCUAACUCUGUGCCAGCAGCCGCGGUAAUACAGAGGUGUCGAGCGUUGUUCGGAUUUACUGGGCGUAAAGGGUGCGUAGGCGGUUCCGUGUGUCGGAUGUGAAAUCCUGCCGCUCAACGGCAGAACGGCAUCCGAAACUACGGUGCUUGAGUUCGGGAGAGGAAGGCGGAAUUCCAGGUGUAGCGGUGAAAUGCGUAGAUAUCUGGAGGAACACCCGUGGCGAAGGCGGCCUUCUGGACCGAUACUGACGCUGAGGCACGAAGGCCGGGGGAGCAAACA
rnacentral:rRNA from 1 species